rnacentral:rRNA from 1 species
GACGAACGCUGGCGGCGUGCUUAACACAUGCAAGUCGAACGGAAAGGCCCUGCUUUUGUGGGGUGCUCGAGUGGCGAACGGGUGAGUAACACGUGAGUAACCUGCCCUUGACUUUGGGAUAACUUCAGGAAACUGGGGCUAAUACCGGAUAGGAGCUCCUGCUGCAUGGUGGGGGUUGGAAAGUUUCGGCGGUUGGGGAUGGACUCGCGGCUUAUCAGCUUGUUGGUGGGGUAGUGGCUUACCAAGGCUUUGUCGGGUAGCCGGCCUGAGAGGGUGACCGGCCACAUUGGGACUGAGAUACGGCCCAGACUCCUACGGGAGGCAGCAGUGGGGAAUAUUGCACAAUGGGCGGAAGCCUGAUGCAGCAACGCCGCGUGCGGGAUGACGGCCUUCGGGUUGUAAACCGCUUUCGCCUGUGACGAAGCGUGAGUGGCGGUAAUGGGUAAAGAAGCACCGGCUAACUACGUG